UUGAAUAGAAAACUUGGUCAGGCUGUUGCUGAUCCUUCGGGGUAUGUGCACGCUUGCUGCCAACUUUCUCCUACCACCUGUGCACCUUUUGUAGAUGCUGGACAUUUUGUCGAGUGUUCACACACAUCGGUAGUUAGGAUUUUGCUGUGGCUAUCCUUGCAUGUCUAGCUCUAUGUUUUUUUCAUAUACGCAUGUCACAGAAUGUAAUUGAUAGGCCUUGUUGCCUUUAAAAUCUAAUA
rnacentral:misc_RNA from 1 species